UACGUAGGGUGCGAGCGUUGUCCGGAAUUAUUGGGCGUAAAGAGCUCGUAGGCGGUCUGUCGCGUCGGUCGUGAAAACUUGGGGCUUAACCCUGAGCUUGCGGUCGAUACGGGCAUGACUGGAGUUCGGCAGGGGAGACUGGAAUUCCUGGUGUAGCGGUGAAAUGCGCAGAUAUCAGGAAGAACACCGGUGGCGAAGGCGGCUCUCUGGGCCUUACCUGACGCUGAGGAGCGAAAGCGUGGGUAGCGAACAGG
rnacentral:rRNA from 1 species